rnacentral:rRNA from 1 species
ACGUCGGCUAGACGACGCUGGCGGCGUGGAUAAGACAUGCAAGUCGAACGGGCUUAAUUCCGGAGCAAUUCGGGGUUGAGCCAGUGGCGAACGGGUGCGUAACACGUGAGUAAUCUGCCUGAAAGUGGGGGAUAGCUCGUCGAAAGGCGAAUUAAUACCGCAUGUGACCCGAAGCAAUUCGGGUUAAAGCCGGGGCAACCUGGCGCUUUUAGAGGAACUCGCGGCCUAUCAGCUUGUUGGUGAGGUAAAGGCUUACCAAGGCUACGACGGGUAGCUGGUCUGAGAGGACGACCAGCCACACUGGAACUGAGACACGGUCCAGACACCUACGGGUGGCAGCAGUCGAGAAUUUUUCUCAAUGGGGGAAACCCUGAAGGAGCGACGCCGCGUGGAGGAUGAAGGCUUUCGGGUUGUAAACUCCUGUCAUUUGGGAACAAAGCCUUACGUUAACUGCGUGGAGGUUUGAUAGUACCGAAAGAGGAAGAGACGGCUAACUCUGUGCCAGCAGCCGCGGUAAUACAGAGGUCUCAAGCGUUGUUCGGAUUCAUUGGGCGUAAAGGGCGCGUAGGCGGCGGGGCAAGUCGGGUGUGAAAUCUCAGGGCUCAACCUGAAACUGCACUCGAUACUGCUCUGCUUGAGGACUGGAGAGGAGACUGGAAUUCACGGUGUAGCAGUGAAAUGCGUAGAUAUCGUGAGGAAGACCAGUGGCGAAGGCGGGUCUCUGGACAGUUCCUGACGCUGAGGCGCGAAGGCCAGGGGAGCAAACGGGAUUAGAUACCCCGGUAGUCCUGGCAGUAAACGGUGCACGUUUGGUGUGCGCGGAUUCGACCCCGUGCGUGCCGGAGCUAACGCGUUAAACGUGCCGCCUGAGGAGUACGGUCGCAAGAUUAAAACUCAAAGAAAUUGACGGGGGCCCGCACAAGCGGUGGAGUAUGUGGCUUAAUUCGAUGCAACGCGAAGAACCUUACCUGGGCUUGACAUGCAUCGUGUCGUCGGUGAAAGCCGGCUAGUGUAGCAAUACACGCUUUGCACAGGUGCUGCAUGGCUGUCGUCAGCUCGUGUCGUGAGAUGUUGGGUUAAGUCCCGCAACGAGCGCAACCCCUGUGAACUGUUGCUACCCAGCACCACUUUUGUCCCCAAUCCUGCAUGUGGAGGACGCUUUGGAGACAAAAUGGUGCUGGGGCACUCUGUUCAGACUGCCCUGUGAAACGGGGAGGAAGGUGGGGAUGACGUCAAGUCAGGAUGGCCCUUACGCCCAGGGCUGCACACGUACUACAAUGCUCAGUACAGAACGACCCGAAAUCGCGAGGUGGAGGAAAUCACUAAAACUGAGCCCAGUUCGGAUUGUAGGCUGCAACUCGCCUACAUGAAGCCGGAAUCGCUAGUAAUGGCGUAUCAGCUACGACGCCGUGAAUACGUUCCCGGGCCUUGUACACACCGCCCGUCACAUCAUGGGAGUCGCUUGUACCCGAAGUGUCUGUGCCAAUCCGCGCAAGCGGAAGGCAGGGCCCUAAGGUAUGAGCGGUAACUGGAGAAGUCGAUCCAAGGUUC